rnacentral:rRNA from 1 species
CAGCAGUCGCGGCAACACAAGGAAGACAAGUGUUAUUCAUCUUAAAUCGGUUUAAAGGGUACCUAGACGGUAAAUUAAGCCUUAAAUGGUACGUUUUUACUAGAGUUAUAUAUGCGUGAGGAAUAUGUGAGUAUUACCAGAGUAGAGAUGCAAUUUUUUGAUACUGUUGAGACUGGUAAAGGCAAAAGCAAACCUUUAUAUAUUAACUGACGUUGAGGGACGAAGGCUUGGGGAGCGAAUAGGAUUAGAUACCCUAAUAGUCCAGGCAGAGAAUUAUGAAUGUCAUAGAAUAGAUAUAACAUGUUCUAUUCUAUAAAUGAAAGUGUAAGCAUUCCACCUCAAGAGUAAUGUGGCAACGCAGGAACUGAAAUCAUUAGACCGUUUCUGAUACCAGUAGUGAAGUAUGUCGUUUAAUUUGUUAACCCUCAAAAACCUUACCACAAUUUGAAUAUAUUUAAUAGAUAUAAAAAAAUUAUUUUUUUUUAUUUAUUUAUUUAUACAAGCGUUGCAUUGUUGUCUUCAGUUAAUGUUGUGAGAUUUUGGUUAGAUUCAUAAAAUUGACGUAAUCCUAUAUUCUAUUUAUAUAUUAAUAGAUUAGAUCACCGCUAUAUUGGAUAAUGAUAACCGGGAGUAAGACAAGUCAUAAUGACCUUAAUAUUGUGGGCUAUGAGACGUGCCACA